GAUGAAGAACGUAGUGAAAUGCGAUAAGUAGUGUGAAUUGCAGAAUUCAGUGAAUCAUCGAAUCUUUGAACGCACAUUGCGCCCUUUGGUAUUCCAAAGGGCAUGCCUGUUCGAGCGUCAUUUGUACCCUCAAGCUUUGCUUGGUGUUGGGCGUCUUGUCUCUAGCUUUGCUGGAGACUCGCCUUAAAGUAAUUGGCAGCCGGCCUACUGGUUUCGGAGCGCAGCACAAGUCGCACUCUCUAUCAGCAAAGGUCUAGCAUCCAUUAAGCCUUUUUUUCAACUUUUGACCUCGGAUCAGGUAGGGAUACCCGCUGAACUUAAGCAUAUCAAUAAGCGGAAGA
rnacentral:misc_RNA from 1 species